rnacentral:tRNA from 1 species
ACGAGUAUGUAACAUUUAUGGACUUAAAAAUACGUCAUAACAAUUAGAUCACUUAUUGUAAGUAGUUUCCAUUAAGAAGUGAUAGUGAUUUCAGAGUCUAGAAAGCCGCGAAGUACUGGACAGCCAUUUUGCUCUUGUUCGUAGAUCCUCAGUAAUUCAUAUAUACGAUUUGCACAGGAGUAAGUUCCCUAUAUCCCAGCUUUGCAAUGAGCACAGUACUCUUAAGCCACUCAGUUUGAGUUCGAUGACCGGCAGAUGCAACUUUAGUUUGCUAUAUAAAACGCUUCUCAUCCUGAACUCGAGCCUGAAAGAUCGUUGGUGUAGAAUUUAGCCACUAUUUGUCUUUGCUUACAAUUUAUUAAUAGUUUUCAAAUUAACUGUUUACUGUAUGGUUAUCAGAAUUUAGUGAGAUAGUCUGUAAUUCGUGU